rnacentral:rRNA from 1 species
UACGUAGGGUGCGAGCGUUAAUCGGAAUUACUGGGCGUAAAGCGUGUGCAGGCGGUCUGUUAAGACAGGUGUGAAAUCCCCGGGCUUAACCUGGGAAUGGCGCUUGUUACUGGCAGACUAGAGUGCGUCAGAGGGGGGUGGAAUUCCACGUGUAGCAGUGAAAUGCGUAGAGAUGUGGAGGGACACCGAUGGCGAAGGCAGCCCCCUGGGAUGACACUGACGCUCAUACACGAAAGCGUGGGGAGCAAACAGG